UACGUAGGGAGCAAUCGUUGUUCGGAUUUACUGGGCGUAAAGGGCGCGUAGGCGGCGCGGUAAGUCACUUGUGAAAUCUCUGAGCUUAACUCAGAACGGCCAAGUGAUACUGCAGUGCUAGAGUGCAGAAGGGGCAAUCGGAAUUCUUGGUGUAGCGGUGAAAUGCGUAGAUAUCAAGAGGAACACCUGAGGUGAAGACGGGUUGCUGGGCUGACACUGACGCUGAGGCGCGAAAGCCAGGGGAGCAAACGGG
rnacentral:rRNA from 1 species